rnacentral:sRNA from 1 species
AUCAGGCGGCCCCGGUGGCCGAAUGGGUAAUGCGGCCACCUGGUAGCGCCUUGGCGUGGGGACCCAAGGCGCGUGGGUUCGAAACCCGCAGGGGACAACAUUACAUCCGGAGCCAACUUCUCAGCUCCUAAAAUAAUGGGAUGUGAACCUGCCAAGUAGGUACCUUCAGGCGGACCUACUACUUGAUUUAGCUGAUUUUUCCUGGGCUAGAAACCUGUAGUGCAUGUACCAAAUCCUGUCUUUCAUUAAUUUUCCUAUGUUCCUGUUAUAUUCUUGGCGUCGUUCAACACUAAGCAUUCCUCCUGUAUAACCAACUCUUGCUUGUAUUUAACAUCACACAAGGACUCGUCAUAAGCAUUGCUUGCAUACGAGUAUAACGGAAGAAUAAUAAUAAUAAUAAUAUAAUAUCAGGCGUGCAUAACAACAGACCACUCAAACAAGGUUGAGAGUGAU